GUCCCAGCUGUAAACGGUGUGCGCUUGGUGUGGGAGAUUUGACCCUCCCCGUGCCGGAGCUAACGCGUUAAGCGCACCGCCUGGGGAGUACGGUCGCAAGACUAAACUCAAAGAAUUGACGGGGCCCGCACAAGCGGAGGAGCAUGUGGCUCAAUUCGAUGCAACGCGAAGAACCUUACCAGGACUUGACAUGCAGCUGCACGUCCGUCGAAAGGCGGAUUCCUUCGAGGGUGCUGCACAGGUGCUGCAUGGCUGUCGU
rnacentral:rRNA from 1 species